GGAGAGAUGGCUGAGUGGUCGAAAGCGAAUCACUGCUAAUGAUUCGACCUGAGAAAUCGGGUCCCUGGGUUCGAAUCCCAGUCUCUCCG
rnacentral:tRNA from 1 species